rnacentral:rRNA from 1 species
AUUGAACGCUGGCGGCAUGCCUAACACAUGCAAGUCGAGCGGAGCGGCGAACGGGUGAGUAAUGCCUCGGAAUCUGCCUGGUAGUGGGGGAUAACUACCGGAAAGGGGCGCUAAUACCGCAUACUAUUAGAUGAGCCUAGGUCGGAUUAGCUAGUUGGUGGGGUAACGGCCUACCAAGGCGACGAUCCGUAACUGGUCUGAGAGGACGAUCAGUCACAAUGUGACUGAGACACGGCCCAGACUCCUACGGGAGGCAGCAGUGGGGAAUAUUGGACAAUGGGGGAAAGCCUGAUCCAGCCAUCCCGCGUGUGUGAUGAAGGGCUUCGGAUUGUAAAGCACUUUAAGUAGGGAGGCGUUACCAACAGAAUAAGCACCGGCUAACUUCGUGCCAGCCGCCGCGGUAAUAC